rnacentral:rRNA from 1 species
CAAUAGCGUAUAUUAAAGUUGUUGCGGUUAAAAAGCUCGUAGUUGGAUUUCUGCUGAGAACGACCGGUCCGCCCUUUGGGUGUGUAUCUGGCUCUUUCUUGGCAUCUUCUUGGUGAACGUUGCUGCACUUGACUGUGUGGGGCGCUACCCAGGACUUUUACUUUGAGGAAAUUAGAGUGUUUCAAGCAGGCAUACGCCUUGAAUACAUUAGCAUGGAAUAAUAAGAUAGGACCUCGGUUCUAUUUUGUUGGUUUCUAGAGCUGAGGUAAUGAUUAAUAGGGAUAGUUGGGGGCAUUCGUAUUUAACUGUCAGAAGUGAAAUUCUUGGAUUUGUUAAAGACGGACUACUGCGAAAGCAUUUGCCAAGGAUGUUUUCAUUGA